AGUUGGUCCCCUCGCAAUGAUACGCUGUGAACCCCGCCAGGCCCGGAAGGGAGCAACGGUAGCAGCGGACUCGUGUGCCGGGGUGCGGCUUUCCCGA
rnacentral:SRP_RNA from 1 species